rnacentral:rRNA from 1 species
CCUACGGGGGGCAGCAGUGGGGAAUAUUGGGCAAUGGGCGCAAGCCUGACCCAGCAACGCCGCGUGAAGGAAGAAGGCUUUCGGGUUGUAAACUUCUUUUAUCAGGGACGAAGCAAGUGACGGUACCUGAUGAAUAAGCCACGGCUAACUACGUGCCAGCAGCCGCGGUAAUACGUAGGUGGCAAGCGUUAUCCGGCUUUACUGGGUGUAAAGGGCGUGUAGGCGGGAAAGAAAGUCAGAUGUGAAAACCAUGGGCUCAACCUGUGGCCUGCAUUUGAAACUGUUGUUCUUGAGUACUGGAGAGGCAGACGGAAUUCCUAGUGUAGCGGUGAAAUGCGUAGAUAUUAGGAGGAACACCAGUGGCGAAGGCGGUCUGCUGGACAGCAACUGACGCUGAGGCGCGAAAGCGUGGGGAGCAAACAGGAUUAGAUACCCGUGUAGUC